rnacentral:tRNA from 1 species
AGCGGGAUAGAGCAACCUGGUAGCUCGGGUGUUUCAUACGCAUCGUCAUGUCUUGGUUCAAAUCCGAGUCCCGCUA